AGUCGAGGGGCAGCAGGGAUAGCAAUAUUCGCUGGCGACCGGCGCACGGGUGCGUAACACGUAUACAAUCUGCCUUUAACAGGGGGAUAGCCCGGAGAAAUCCGGAUUAAUACCCCAUAAUAUUUUGAGUGGCAUCACUUGAAAUUGAAAGCUCCGGCGGUUAAAGAUGAGUAUGCGUCUGAUUAGUUAGUUGGUGAGGUAACGGCUCACCAAGACCACGAUCAGUAGGGGAUCUGAGAGGAUUAACCCCCACACGGAUACUGAGACACGGAUCCGACUCCUACGGGAGGCAGCAGUAAGGAAUAUUGGACAAUGCCCGCAAGGGUGAUCCAGCCAUGCCGCGUGCAGGAAGACGGCCCUAUGGGUUGUAAACUGCUUUUACACCGGAGAAAACCCCAGUACGUGUACUGGGCUGAUAGUAUGGUGAGAAUAAGCAUCGGCUAACUUCGUGCCAGCAGCCGCGGUAAGACGAAGGAUGCAAGCGUUAUCCGGAUUCAUUGGGUUUAAAGGGAGCGUAGGUGGCCUUAUAAGUCAGUGGUGAAAUCUCUGGGCUUAACCCAGAAAUUGCCAUUGAUACUGUAGGGCUUGAGUAUAGUUGCCGUUGGCGGAAUAUGACAUGUAGUGGUGAAAUACGUAGAGAUGUCAUAGAACACCGAUUGCGAAGGCAGCUAACGAAACUAUAACUGACACUGAGGCUCGAAAGUGCGGGGAUCAAACAGGAUUAGAUACCCUGGUAGUCCGCACUGUAAACGAUGAUUACUCGCUGCUAGAGG
rnacentral:rRNA from 1 species